AAAAUAAAAUAUCUUCAAAAGUACAUGAAAAUUUCGAACUAGCUGUGGAAAAUGAUAGCUAUAAAUUCCGUAAUUUCUUUUGGCGACGUUCCAGAAAAUUUUCUAUAUUUGUUACGUUUCAACAAAAUCAUCACAAAAUCGUCAUUGGUAUUUCUAACAGAACCACGCAGCCUGCAUUUUAGAAACUUGUUUAUCAUUAAAAUAAACAGUAAACAUGUAUAAUGUACCACACGAUCUCCAAACGCCGUAUAUACCGCCUUAUAUCAAUAUUAUCGAUUACGAACAUGUGCCUUACACGAAAUAUCACUCUGUAUAUGUUCCUAAUUAUGAUACAUAUAGACCGGUAGAUAAAUACGAUAAAUGGCCUUCUUGGUAUCGAGCUUACUUACAUAUGCCUGAAUUUAGGCACUAUUUGAAUAAUACUCUUAUGAGAGAUGUGGGGAUUCGUAGACAUAAAUACGUCCACACUUAUUGGUAAAACACGAAUAGAAGAAAGAAAAUUUGCGAUUUGCGUUCAAAUUUUGUCAAUUUCAUCAUAAUUUGUAUUUACAAAUAAAUUGCUUUCGUGUAUUUUGGAUCGAAUAUUUAAUUUGAUAAUUUGUUUACUUGGAAUCGGAAUUUUGAUAUAGAAUCAAAUUCUAAAUUACAUUAUCCAUUCGAUACAGUACAAACAUGGAAUAAUUAGUGAAAACACAUAUUUUACAAUAUUUUCACAGCAUGUUGUUAGUAAAUACAUUUUUUUAAAAAAUCAAAACCAAGUUCUCACAACAUAAUAAACCAACGAAAAAUCUCGAUGUAAAGCUAGUUUCAUCGAUAAUAUUCUCUAAUCAUUUAUGAACAAAUUCCACCCUCUAUUUUAUAAACGAAACUACGAGGAUAGUUCCAAAAGUACUGGAAAACAUAAAAAUUUCGGAAAAAAUGAUGUUAUGUCCUUUUAGCUCCAUAAGCUUUUCCCAGCGAUGUUCAAUAAGUUCGAUACCCUCUUCAUGUAAUUCGUAUGACUAAUUGAUCCUCAUAAACACAUAUCCAAACAUGUUUGUUUCGAUAACGAAGUUGUCGUCUUCAGGAAAAGUAUUAUACCAAAGCUUUAUGUUGCCAAAUGUGAAUAUUUCCGAGCAGGUAUCUGGCAAACUUCCAGUAAGAUUUCUCGUCUAGUGCUUUAGAGAUUUUAUCUUUAUUCUCGACAAAAAUCUCGACUAAUCUAUUGAGUUUCGUUGUGAUUUCUGUUUAAUCUUUAAAUAAUAAAAAAAUGCUUGGAUUGCAAUACGACCCUUAUUACCGAUACGAUUUAUGGCCUUAUUCAAAAUACGUUCCUGUAGAUAUACCGGAUUAUAAAAUUAACAGACCUUUGGAUUAUUAUAGCAAAUGGCCGGAAUACUAUCCAAUGUUAUUGCCCGUACCAGAAUUCAGAACGUAUCUGAAUAAUCUUUUGCUUAGAGAUUUAAGGCUGAGAAAAUAUCAAUAUACACACACUUAUUGGUGAACAACUAUAUAAAUCGAUUUAUUUAACUACGAAUUUCCAAAGAUAUAUAUUUAAAAUGUUAUUGGAUAUUUAAUAUUGAAAUUCAUGUAAAGAAAAAAUAAUAUAACCGGAAAAUAUAAAAUAUUACGUAUCCUCUCAAAGUUUUUUGUCGACUAUUCCGAUUAAUUUUUUUGUUAUUGCAUAAUAAUUAAUCUUUUCGUGUCGUAAAUUUUUGUUCGACGAGAUUUCGUAAUAUCAUAAUGAUAAAACUACGUCGCUUUUUUAUAUUAAAUAUUAACAAAGUAGAAAUUUCGAUUAAAAAUUCAUCAAAAGACAAGUUUUCUAUUGUGGCCGCAUAAAAACCCUAGUCGAGAUUAUAUUCCAUUUGAUCGAGCUUCUUAAUUCGGGGACUCAUCACUUUAUCUGAGAUUGAGAUUUUGCUGUAGACAUAACAGAUUUUCUCUAUCGUUUGUCAACUCAAUUCAUCCACAAUCUAAUAUCCACGAUUUCUAUUGCAUUUCCACUAAGAAAAUCAUUUAAACCAAUAUUAAAAUAAGACAGUCUCAUUAAAAUUAAUGAGUAAUUGAUAUAAUUAUAUAUAUAUAUAUAUAUAUAUAUAUAUAUAUAUAUAUACAUAUAUUUGCGAGAUGUUUUAAAAAUUUCGGUUCCAAUUUGAUGAGGCACUCGAAUUAAAAUUCGCAAACUAACGGUUUGAAAAACUGUCAAAUAAAAGUAGAAAUUUCGAUUAAAAAAUUGAUCAAAAGACAAGUUUUCUAUUGUGGCCGCAUAAAAACAAUCGUCUAGAUUAUGUUCCAUUUGAUAGAGUUUCUUAAUUCGGGGACUCAUCACUUUAUCUGAGAUUGAGAUUUUGCUGUAGAUAGAACAUAUUUCCUUUAAUCGCUUGUCAUCUCAAUUCAUUCAUAAUCUAAUAAUUAUAUAUAUUUGCAAGAUGUUUUGAAAAUUUCGAUGACAAUUUGAUGAGGCACUCGAAUUUAAAAUCGCAAGCUAACGGUUUUUACAAUUGUCAAAUAAAAGUAGAAUUUUCGAUUAACAGAUUCAUCAGAAGACAAUUUUUCUAUUGUGACCGCAUAUAAACCCUCGUCGAGGCUAUACUUCAUUCGAUCGAGCUUGUUAAUUCUGGCACUCAUCAUUUUAUCUGUGAUUGGGGUUUUGCUGUAGAUAGAACAGAUUUACUUUAAUCGUUUGUCAACUCAAUUCAUCCACAAUCUUAUAUACACGAUUUCUAUUGCAUUUCCACUAAGAAAAUCAUUUAAAACCAAUAUUAGAAUAAAAUUGAUGAUUUAAUAAGAAAUCUGUCAAAUAAAAGUAGAAUUUUCGUAAUUUACAUUAUUCGAAAGGAUUUGUCAUUAAUUGGAGGGUUGUAUCUUGGUAACUAAGAGCUGCUUUUUGUCUCAAAUUGUAGACUGUCGAUAAAAGUUUAGUUUUUUGAGGUUUCAUACGUGAAUAUAUACAACUGAUAAUUCUGUAAACAGAGUUAGCUAUUUCAAUAAAUGUCGUGCUAGUGGAAUCGCAAAAGAAUCCUGAAUCAAAUACGUGAGUCACGACGCGUUCUAAAAAUAUUUCAAGCUUAUUUUCAUUGUGAAAAUAACCCAAAAUAAACACACCUACAUUAUUUAUAUAAUAUGAAUCAACUACAAGUAUUUUAAGGUUAUUACAAUCGUCGGAAUACAAUAAGUUUGUAACGAAAAAAAUGUAUACUGGCCGUUAUCCAAAAAUUCACACUUAAAAUUUUACGUCUUUUGAAAAAUAAAUGCAUUCGUUUGGAUAGUGUUUAGUGUUUGUGUGUGGUCUCUGUUGGAAUAGCAGGUAACUAAAAUUGAAAUGGUGAGACUAGAAACUAGGUACGAUCCUAUACAUGGAUACAACUAUACUUAUUGGCCGGACUCUAAAUAUUUCAGAAAUUAUCAAUUUGCUCCUCCAAUAUCUUGGGUAGACGAUUGGACCAGAAGAUCACGUGUAUGGUUUCCUUAUUAUUGGUCUACAAACAGAUUAUUUAAUCAUUAUAAUGAUUACCGGCCAUCGAUAAGAUCUCUUCGAGAACAACGACUAAGACACAACUUAUACUUUUAGACCCGAUCAAAAAUCAACCGUUCAAAUUAUAUUGUAACUAUUUUUUGUAAUAAAUUUUGAAAAUCUAUAUUGUGUUUGUUUUAAAUUCGAAAUAACUAUGAUUUAUCUCCCAUAUAAAUUUCGAUUAUUUAACAAUUGAAAAUAGGUAAUAAGACAUUUAAAAUUUAAUUGGUUAGGCAUAUCAAAAUAACGAUUCAAAAGAUCUUUUUAAAGACCAAAAGGAUUAUAGAUAUAUCUGAAAUUAACUAAUUAACAGUUUUAUCUUCAAAUAUUGAUGGUAUUCACUAAAAUUGCUGUAUAACUAUCAAUUAAUGUUAUUCAUAUAUUAAAUCACUCAAAAAGUCGUGUUAUUUCAAAAUGAAUCUACUUUAAAAACAAUCUCGUGUGUUAAUUUAUGAUUGUUUCUUGAUGAAAACAUAAAUAUCGUACAAGCAAUGGCUUCAAAAAUGUUAUCCGGACUUUUCUCUAUCGAAAAGAACCAUUUUUUAUUGGUUUGCUCAAUUUAAACAGACACCGAUGAUAGUGAACGUUCUAGGCGUCCAAAUAGAGGUGGUUAUUCCAAAAAAGUACACGAAAUAGUUAUAUCUAAUCGUAAAUUAAAAUUGCGUGAGAUAGUUGAGGCUGUUUAGGUUUCAGAAGGGAGUGUAUUGAACGUUUGAUUAUCAGAAAGUUUUUUUUAAAUUGGGUGCCGCGUUUACUCACAAUCAAUCAAAAACAACAACAUGUUUACACGUGAUAAAUCAGUUUUUUUUGCAUCCAUAUGUGAUAAACGAUCAUCAUUUGAGUGGACUACAGCCGGUGAACCAGGUCCAAAGUCACAACAGUCAGUUGGAGAGGUUAUGGCUUCAGUAUUUUGGGAGGCUUUCGAAAUGUAGGUUUAUAGACACAACACCGAAUCAAGGUAUCAGUAUUACAAGAAAUUGGUCCACGUACAAGGCUACUAACCAGAAUAAAUAGGACAUAUAACUAGAAGAUGGGUAGAUUUUAAUAAAUAUGAGGCAACAUAGAUUUAACAGGAUGGAAAAGCGUGAAAACAACUGCCGAAUCAAUAUAAAUGGUAUCAUUCCAUCCUUUGGAGGAUAAUGGACAGAGGAGGAAGGAACAUUGUUCAUCAACUAUUUCCAAAAGGAAGAGACAAUCGAUAGAGAAUACUACAUAGAGUUGUUGGUUCGUUUGAAUGCAAAAACGGCCUUAUAUAUCGAAGAAAAAAUCACCGUUUCACCAAGAUAAUGCACCGAUGCUCAAGUCGAUUUCAAUAUUAGUUGAAAUGAAUAAAUUACACUUCCAAUAGCUUCCCCAUCCACCGUAUAGUCUAUAUUUAGCCCUACAGUAACUACUGGCUAUUCGCUGAUCUCAAAAAAUGCUCGUCGGUAAGAAAUUCAGCUCAAAUGCAAAAGCAAUUGAUGACAAAUACGGAAUCCACAAGUUAGAGAAGCUUUGGAAUGAUUUAAUUUCUCUUGAAGAAGAUUACAUUCAUGAAUUGGUGAAAAUUCAGAGUCUUUUGAAUACUUGAUUUAAUAGAUAUGAUUUUAGUGUUUCCUAGUCUUGAGCGAUCGAUAUUUAUUUGGUCCUUACGAUUUUUUUGAACUUUCAACGUACAGUUUUAUAGAUUUCAAUAUCGAUUGCGAUCUGUUCCACUAACUUUACCACUUGAACUAAACUUUUGUUUCUACUUUUACUUAACAAAAUUGAUAUUGCCCAGUUCAUGCUAAGUUGAAUUCUUCGAACUCGGAAUACACCAGUAGCGAUUCUUAGUGCAGUUCUUUGCGAUAAAUCAAGUUGUUUGAGAUACAUUUUUUCACAAGAUGCCUAAUACAGAUCCCAUUUAUAGCUGGCAAUAAAAUUAAUCUUAUAUAUUAGUUAAUAAAAUUUUUACAGCUUCAUCUUGUUUAUAAAUCCUAUAUCAUCGAGGAAAAUCGCGUUUAAUCUCAAAUCUGCUAUUGCAUAUUCUAUUUAUCUAUAAAAUUUUUGAUGUUAUAAAAGUUGUAACGAACGUCCGCAAUGUGAUAAGAAACUUUGAAGAUUUUCAUAUAAAUAUGUCAUUUUUAAACAGCUAGUUUGAAUUUUAAACGUUAUAUUUGGAAAACAAAAACAUUUUA